rnacentral:rRNA from 1 species
GAUGAACGCUGGCGGCGUGCCUAAUACAUGCAAGUCGAGCGAACAGAUAAGGAGCUUGCUCCUUUGACGUUAGCGGCGGACGGGUGAGUAACACGUGGGUAACCUACCUAUAAGACUGGAAUAACUCCGGGAAACCGGGGCUAAUGCCGGAUAACAUUUAGAACCGCAUGGUUCUAAAGUGAAAGAUGGUUUUGCUAUCACUUAUAGAUGGACCCGCGCCGUAUUAGCUAGUUGGUAAGGUAACGGCUUACCAAGGCAACGAUACGUAGCCGACCUGAGAGGGUGAUUGGCCACACUGGAACUGAGACACGGUCCAGACUCCUACGGGAGGCAGCAGUAGGGAAUCUUCCGCAAUGGGCGAAAGCCUGACGGAGCAAUGCCGCGUGAGUGAUGAAGGUCUUCGGAUCGUAAAACUCUGUUAUUAGGGAAGAACAAAUGUGUAAGUAACUGUGCACGUCUUGACGGUACCUAAUCAGAAAGCCACGGCUAACUACGUG